rnacentral:rRNA from 1 species
GGGUUGUGAGGUUAAGCGACUAAGCGUACACGGUGGAUGCCCUGGCAGUCAGAGGCGAUGAAGGGCGUGCUAAUCUGCGAUAAGCGCCGGUAAGGUGAUAUGAACCGUUAUAACCGGCGAUACCCGAAUGGGGAAACCCAGUGUGAUUCGUCACACUAUCAUUAACUGAAUCCAUAGGUUAAUGAGGCGAACCGGGGGAACUGAAACAUCUAAGUACCCCGAGGAAAAGAAAUCAACCGAGAUUCCCCCAGUAGCGGCGAGCGAACGGGGAGGAGCCCAGAGCCUGAAUCAGCAUGUGUGUUAGUGGAAGCGUCUGGAAAGGCGCGCGAUACAGGGUGACAGCCCCGUACACAAAAGCGCAUGUGCUGUGAGCUCGAUGAGUAGGGCGGGACACGUGGUAUCCUGUCUGAAUAUGGGGGGACCAUCCUCCAAGGCUAAAUACUCCUGACUGACCGAUAGUGAACCAGUACCGUGAGGGAAAGGCGAAAAGAACCCCGGCGAGGGGAGUGAAAAAGAACCUGAAACCGUGUACGUACAAGCAGUGGGAGCCCCACCACCAAAGCAUUCUCUGGUGUUGAAGGCCCUGCAAAGCAGCAUCGCGGUGGCGGAGCGUCGUUUGCGACGCCCAACACACAAAACAAGCGGUGAAUGCUUUGGGGUGGGGUGACUGCGUACCUUUUGUAUAAUGGGUCAGCGACUUAUAUUCUGUAGCAAGGUUAACCGAAUAGGGGAGCCGGAGGGAAACCGAGUCUUAAUUGGGCGUUAAGUUGCAGGGUAUAGACCCGAAACCCGGUGAUCUAGCCAUGGGCAGGUUGAAGGUUGGGUAACACUAACUGGAGGACCGAACCGACUAAUGUUGAAAAAUUAGCGGAUGACCUGUGGCUGGGGGUGAAAGGCCAAUCAAACCGGGAGAUAGCUGGUUCUCCCCGAAAGCUAUUUAGGUAGCGCCUCGUGAAUUCAUCUCCGGGGGUAGAGCACUGUUUCGGCUAGGGGGCCAUCCCGGCUUACCAACCCGAUGCAAACUGCGAAUACCGGAGAAUGUUAUCACGGGAGACACACGGCGGGUGCUAACGUCCGUCGUGAAGAGGGAAACAACCCAGACCGCCAGCUAAGGUCCCAAAGUCAUGGUUAAGUGGGAAACGAUGUGGGAAGGCCCAGACAGCCAGGAUGUUGGCUUAGAAGCAGCCAUCAUUUAAAGAAAGCGUAAUAGCUCACUGGUCGAGUCGGCCUGCGCGGAAGAUGUAACGGGGCUAAACCAUGCACCGAAGCUGCGGCAGCGAACGUAUCACCCAAGACAACUUUACGGAGUUGACGAUUGACGGAGCGAAGCGACGUCAAAGCGUUCAUUAAAGUCGAGUUGGCUUAGGGAUACGUUCGUUGGGUAGGGGAGCGUUCUGUAAGCCUGUGAAGGUGUGUCGUGAGGCAUGCUGGAGGUAUCAGAAGUGCGAAUGCUGACAUAAGUAACGAUAAAGCGGGUGAAAAGCCCGCUCGCCGGAAGACCAAGGGUUCCUGUCCAACGUUAAUCGGGGCAGGGUGAGUCGACCCCUAAGGCGAGGCCGAAAGGCGUAGUCGAUGGGAAACGGGUUAAUAUUCCCGUACUUGGUGUUACUGCGAAGGGGGGACGGAGAAGGCUAUGUUGGCCGGGCGACGGUUGUCCCGGUUUAAGCGUGUAGGUGUGUGUUCCAGGUAAAUCCGGUUCACUUUAACACUGAGGCGUGACGACGAGGCACUACGGUGCUGAAGCAACAAAUGCCCUGCUUCCAGGAAAAGCCUCUAAGCAUCAGGUAACACGAAAUCGUACCCCAAACCGACACAGGUGGUCAGGUAGAGAAUACCAAGGCGCUUGAGAGAACUCGGGUGAAGGAACUAGGCAAAAUGGUGCCGUAACUUCGGGAGAAGGCACGCUGACACGUAGGUGAAGUGAUUUACUCAUGGAGCUGAAGUCAGUCGAAGAUACCAGCUGGCUGCAACUGUUUAUUAAAAACACAGCACUGUGCAAACACGAAAGUGGACGUAUACGGUGUGACGCCUGCCCGGUGCCGGAAGGUUAAUUGAUGGGGUCAGCGUAAGCGAAGCUCCUGAUCGAAGCCCCGGUAAACGGCGGCCGUAACUAUAACGGUCCUAAGGUAGCGAAAUUCCUUGUCGGGUAAGUUCCGACCUGCACGAAUGGCGUAAUGAUGGCCAGGCUGUCUCCACCCGAGACUCAGUGAAAUUGAACUCGCUGUGAAGAUGCAGUGUACCCGCGGCAAGACGGAAAGACCCCGUGAACCUUUACUAUAGCUUGACACUGAACAUUGAGCCUUGAUGUGUAGGAUAGGUGGGAGGCUUUGAAGUGUGGACGCCAGUCUGCAUGGAGCCGACCUUGAAAUACCACCCUUUAAUGUUUGAUGUUCUAACGUGGACCCGUAAUCCGGGUUGCGGACAGUGUCUGGUGGGUAGUUUGACUGGGGCGGUCUCCUCCUAAAGAGUAACGGAGGAGCACGAAGGUUGGCUAAUCCUGGUCGGACAUCAGGAGGUUAGUGCAAUGGCAUAAGCCAGCUUGACUGCGAGCGUGACGGCGCGAGCAGGUGCGAAAGCAGGUCAUAGUGAUCCGGUGGUUCUGAAUGGAAGGGCCAUCGCUCAACGGAUAAAAGGUACUCCGGGGAUAACAGGCUGAUACCGCCCAAGAGUUCAUAUCGACGGCGGUGUUUGGCACCUCGAUGUCGGCUCAUCACAUCCUGGGGCUGAAGUAGGUCCCAAGGGUAUGGCUGUUCGCCAUUUAAAGUGGUACGCGAGCUGGGUUUAGAACGUCGUGAGACAGUUCGGUCCCUAUCUGCCGUGGGCGCUGGAGAACUGAGGGGGGCUGCUCCUAGUACGAGAGGACCGGAGUGGACGCAUCACUGGUGUUCGGGUUGUCAUGCCAAUGGCACUGCCCGGUAGCUAAAUGCGGAAGAGAUAAGUGCUGAAAGCAUCUAAGCACGAAACUUGCCCCGAGAUAAGUUCUCCCUGAGACUUAGAGUCUCCUGAAGGAACGUUGAAGACGACGACGUUGAUAGGCCGGGUGUGUAAGCGCAGCGAUGCGUUGAGCUAACCGGUACUAAUGAACCGUGAGGCUUAACCUUACAACGCCGAAG